rnacentral:rRNA from 1 species
GAUUCUGGCUCAGGACGAACGCUGGCGGCGUGCUUCAUACAUGCAAGUCGAACGAGAAACUGACUCGGUUAGUGGAAAGUGGCGACGGGUGAGUAAAAUGUAGAGAAUCUGCCCUUUAGCGGGGGACAACAGUUGGAAACGACUGCUAAUACCCCAUAUGCGCGUACUUGAGAUAGUAUUCGUGAAAACUCCGGUGCUAAAGGAUGAGUCUGCAUCUGAUUAGCUAGUUGGCGGUGUAAUGGACCACCAAGGCGACGAUCAGUAGCUGGUUUGAGAGGAUGAUCAGCCACAAUGGGACUGAGACACGGCCCAUACUCCUACGGGAGGCAGCAGUAGGGAAUUUUGCGCAAUGGGCGAAAGCCUGAACCGCAGCAACGCCGCGUGAACGAAUAAGCCCUUCGGGGUGUAAAGUUCUGUCAGUGGGGACGAAACUUGACGGUACCCACAGAGGAAGCAUCGGCUAACUCCGUGCCAGCAGCAGC